rnacentral:rRNA from 1 species
UACGGAGGGGGCUAGCGUUGUUCGGAAUGACUGGGCGUAAAGGGCGCGUAGGCGGAUGGCACAGUCAGAUGUGAAAUUCCUGGGCUUAACCUGGGGGCUGCAUUUGAUACGUGUGAUCUGGAGUGAGGAAGAGGGUUGUGGAAUUCCCAGUGUAGAGGUGAAAUUCGUAGAUAUUGGGAAGAACACCGGUGGCGAAGGCGGCGGCCUGGUCCUUAACUGACGCUGAGGCGCGAAAGCGUGGGGAGCAAACAGG